UGGAGUUGAGAGAAAGCAAGGUUAGAGAGAGAAAAGAGAGAGAAAUAGAAGAGGAAAAAAGAGAGGAAAAUGGGAGAAACCCAAUAAAAGUGAGGAAAAUUGAUGGAAUUUGGGAAUUUUUCCUUGAGAAAACUCUACCCAAAUUGUGAGAGGAAGAGAGAGGAAGGAAGAAGGAAAAGAGAAAAAUAAAGAAAGAAGAGAAUGAGAGCAAAAGCUCACAGCCAAUCAUUGGAGAACUCACGAGCUUAAGGUAAGUUUUCUCAUUCAUUUGAAUUCUGUUUGUCUUAAAAUUUUGAAGAUGAUUUUGGAGUUAUGUGAGGGAUAUUUUUGAGAUUAGAUAUUGCUCAAAAGCAUCUCGGAACUUUACUGGAUUUUUGAAAGAAAAAUUUAAAAAUUAAAUCGGGACUUUGCUAGAGUUAAAGUAGCAUGUUUUGCGAGGUAUGUAGUUCAAGUUUUUUUAAAUGAAAAUUAAUUUACAUAUAAUUAGAAACAUUUUUUAGUGUUAAAUGAUGAUAAUUCUAAGGGGAGAUGCUGCUGAAAUUUUGGUAGAAAAUUGAUGAAAAUAUAAGGCGAGACUCUGCUCGAGUGAAAAGAGAAAAUCGAAAUAAUUUUUAGGGAAGACUCUGACAGAGUUACUAAAAAAAUUUAAAGAAAAUAUAGGGGGAGACUGUCAGAAUAUGCAAAGCUUAGAUGGAUUACAUCAUACUCGAGGUAAGUGGAUACUAUGAUGGCAUAGCCUGUGUAGUUUUCGAAGGAUUUUCAAAGUAUUUUUAGUAUAGUAAGUGGAUGUUGUGAUUUCAUGGCAUAUGUAGCUUUCAAGUGUUUCAUCAGUGUUUUAUAUAUAUUUUCAUAUAUAAAGUGCAAGUCUUUUGUGGAAGUGCUAUUAUGUUUUGAGUGUUAUUUUUUUAUGUGUUUUACAAAGUGAUUUUGAUAAGUGUGCAUCACUCGUUAUCGAUGUGAGCUGUUCUAAAAGCACCUGCAUGAUGCUAGACUUCAGUGUGCCCCUACAUAAUUGUUCUAUUUUCGGGUGUAGUGGCAAAGUGAUAAGUGUGAACCCAUACAUAACCAUUCCAUUUUCAGGUGCAUGGGGAAGUGUUAAGUGUUAAGUGUGCGCCUAGCAUGCAUGGCAGUAGGAAGAUGUGAAUGGCCCUCCGUAACGAUGAUGAAGUGGAGCUCAUUGUAUAAUGUAGCAAAGUGCAUCUGUUUUCUGAUUCUAGGACAUGUGACUCGUUGUACACUGUGGCGCACUGUACCUACUGAGUGAUCUAGUACAUGUGAGAGUGUAGCAUAUUGUAUAAUGUAGUAAUGUGUUUUUUGAAUCAUUAUUCUAGUUUUAGUUUUUUAUUGUACAUCUGUUUUCAGUGAAAAUGAAUAUGUCUUCGAGAAAAGUAUAUCAAAUAUAUAUGUUUUGAUGUGUGUGAAAACUAU
rnacentral:lncRNA from 1 species